AGCCGAAACAAGGGAGGCACACCGCCGCCCUUGUCCGCAGGGAAUGGCCGCCCUGCGCUGACGAGGCAGGCCAAA
rnacentral:hammerhead_ribozyme from 1 species